GUUUUCAGAGGAGUUUUGGCAAUUUUGCUCAAGAGCAGAGUCCUGCACAAUGAGCACUGUGAGAUCAGGCAAAAGUUGACGUGGAAAAGGAUGCUGGAAUUUGAAACUUCGAACAGGGAAACCCUGCACCCCUCCCGAUUCCAAAGUCCAAUGAGGAAUGAAAGGGGAAGAGAUAAAAAGCCUUGGAUGUCAGACCUCCAGGCUAGAUCUGCUUGUACAUUUAUGCCGUGACGGGUAACCUGGAGCUUUAGUGAUGUUUUGGGCUGCAGAUAAAGCACAAGAUUUGAAUACCCUUUCCGAACAACAUUGCUUCCUCUCAUUCACAGGAGGCACAUACAAGGUCCCACCGUAGCCUGAGUGUGGUUCUGUGGGCAAGUGACAGCAACAGAAGCUGAAUGUUGGGACUUGUAUCCCCAAUUCGCUGAGGAUGAAACCUGAGGCUUGAAAAAAACCACUGAAUAUCCUUUGGUUUUGUGCCGUUGCUUUUUAUUUGCAGAUUCAAAUGGUCAGUUCAAUGCAAUU